AGAAAAUCAAAUCUAAUUUGGAAGGUAGCUUCUCGGUUUUUCCCUUUUUCUUCGCUUUCUCCUUAUUCUUCUCUAUUUGGGUGAGCCAAUCGGCUUUCUGGGGUUUGCAUGUAAGGUUGAAGGUAACUCCGAUGAAGGGACCAUGUUGGUUAUCCGUUUCCGGUCCCGAGGAGGUCGGUCAAAGCCUCCAAUCCAAUCUGUCAAAACAAAAAAUGGAUCAUGAUUAUUGUUUUUCUUUGUUAUUUUUGGUGUAUUUUAUGUUUCUUAAUCUUUACUUGAAAUUUGAGAUUUCAUAGGAUAAAUUUCUUUUAGAUUAUGUUAGAUUAUAUUUUAGACUUUUUUUUUUCUUUCUAAUUUAGAUCUAAGGAUUCAAAUAGGUUGGAAUUUUAUUUUUCUAAUUUAAUAUUAG
rnacentral:lncRNA from 1 species